UACGGAGGGUGCAAGCGUUAUCCGGAUUCACUGGGUUUAAAGGGUGCGUAGGCGGGUAGGUAAGUCAGUGGUGAAAUCUUCGAGCUUAACUCGGAAACUGCCUUUGAUACUAUCUAUCUUGAAUAUUGUGGAGGUAAGCGGAAUAUGUCAUGUAGCGGUGAAAUGCUUAGAUAUGACAUAGAACACCUAUUGCGAAGGCAGCUUACUACGCAUAUAUUGACGCUGAGGCACGAAAGCGUGGGGAGUCAAACAGGA
rnacentral:rRNA from 1 species